UCCGUGACAGCAGUAGCAGCAGUAGUACUAGUGGCACGGAGAGCGACGAUGAUGAACAGGCGUCCGAGAGGUCGCAUGUCCACAUCCAGGAGCAGCUUGCCGCAGGAGACGAUGGGAGCGAAGGGCAAUGGAAGAUGGAAGAAAACCAGCCCUUGCAAGACUCGUUCACUGCCCAGCCCGGUAUCAAGGUGCCAGUGCCAGAAAAUGCUGAGCCAUAUCAUUAUUUUUGCCUGUUUUUUACUUUACAAUUUUGGCAAUUGCUCUGCACUGAGACCAAUCGAUUUGCCCAGCAAUAUCUAAAUGCACACCGUGACACACUCCCAGCUCGUAGCAGAUUUAGGAAAUGGGUAGACGUUAGCGUACAAGAAAUGAAAGUGUUCUUUGCUCUAUUUUUGCUGAUGGGAUUUAUUUGGAAGCCAGAAAUCGAUCUCUAUUGGAACAGGAACCCUCUGAUUUUCACCCCUUUAUUCCCCGCCUCGAUGAAGCGCGACCGAUGGAUGUGUAUUGCAAGUUUUCUGCACUUUGCAAACAAUGAAGACGAGACGGCUAGAACCGACAAGCUUAGGAAAAUUCGGCCGUUGAUUACAUUUUUCCAGGAUAAAUUUCAGACCGUGUACAUUCCGUAUAAACAUAUCUCUAUUGAUGAAGAAUUAGUGCCAUGGAAGGGUAGACUAGAUUUUAGGCAGUUUAUACCCUCGAAACGAGCAAGAUUUGGUGUCAAGAUAUAUGCUCUGUGUGAGUCUAGUGGUUAUAUGUCUAACUUUUUUGUUUAUGUUGGCCGAGAUGAUCAUGCCUAUCAGCCUGGCUUAGUAGAGAAAGUCGGCAAAUCUGGUGCCGUAGUUGUCCAUUUAUUAGAUCCAUUAUUUUUAGACAAAGGCUACAACGUAUACAUAGAUAACUUUUAUUCUAGUAUUGAGCUGGCUGAAUACUUGGAGACCAGGAAGACC